CAGCGCCUCGGCGGUGGAGUCCGCCAUUAACCGUCACGCUCCUUCGUGUGGCCAAUGACUCCUGCGGGCGG
rnacentral:ncRNA from 2 species